rnacentral:rRNA from 1 species
UACGGAGGGGGCUAGCGUUGUUCGGAAUUACUGGGCGUAAAGCGUACGUAGGCGGCUUUGUAAGUUAGAGGUGAAAGCCCGGGGCUCAACCCCGGAAUUGCCUUUAAGACUGCAUCGCUUGAAUCGCGGAGAGGUGAGUGGAAUUCCGAGUGUAGAGGUGAAAUUCGUAGAUAUUCGGAAGAACACCAGUGGCGAAGGCGACACACUGGGCCAUUACUGACGCUGAGGCGCGAAAGCGUGGGGGAGCAA